GGACGAACGCUGGCGGCGUGCCUAACACAUGCAAGUCGAACGGGUUACGGAAGCUUGCUUCUGUAACUUAGUGGCGGACUGGUGAGUAACACGUAAGCAACCUGCCUAUUAGAGGGGAAUAACAGUGAGAAAUCAUUGCUAAUACCGCAUAUGCUCACAGUACCACAUGGUACAGUGAGGAAAGGAGUAAUCCGCUAAUAGAUGGGCUUGCGUCUGAUUAGCUAGUUGGUGGGGUAACGGCCUACCAAGGCGACGAUCAGUAGCCGGACUGAGAGGUUGAACGGCCACAUUGGGACUGAGAUACGGCCCAGACUCCUACGGGAGGCAGCAGUCGGGAAUAUUGCGCAAUGGAGGAAACUCUGACGCAGUGACGCCGCGUAUAGGAAGAAGGUUUCGGAUUGUAAACUAUUGUCGUUAGGGAAGAUACAAGACAGUACCUAAGGAGGAAGCCCCGGCUAACUAUGUG
rnacentral:rRNA from 1 species